GGCGCGGUGGCGGAGUGGCUACGCAGAGGCCUGCAAAGCCUUGAACACCGGUUCGAUUCCGGUCCGCGCCUCCA
rnacentral:tRNA from 3 species